rnacentral:rRNA from 1 species
UGGGGAAUAUUGCACAAUGGGCGCAAGCCUGAUGCAGCCAUGCCGCGUGUAUGAAGAAGGCCUUCGGGUUGUAAAGUACUUUCAGCGGGGAGGAAGGUAGUAAAGUUAAUACCUUUGCUCAUUGACGUUACCCGCAGAAGAAGCACCGGCUAACUCCGUGCCAGCAGCCGCGGUAAUACGGAGGGUGCAAGCGUUAAUCGGAAUUACUGGGCGUAAAGCGCACGCAGUCGGUUUGUUAAGUCAGAUGUGAAAUCCCCGGGCUAAACCUGGGAACUGCAUCGGAUACUGGCAAGCUUGAGUCUCGUAGAGGGGGGUAGAAUUCCAGGUGUAGCGGUGAAAUGCGUAGAGAUAUGAAGGAAUACCGGUGGCGAAGGCGACACCCUGGACGAAGACUGACGCUCAGGUGCGAAAGCGUGGGGAGCAAACAGG